rnacentral:rRNA from 1 species
GUGAACGCUGGCGGUAGGCCUAACACAUGCCAGUCGAACGGCAGCACAGUAAGCGCUUGCUCUUACGGGUGGCGAGUGGCGGACGGGUGAGGAAUACAUCGGAAUCUACUUUUUCGUGGGGGAUAACGUAGGGAAACUUACGCUAAUACCGCAUACGACCUACGGGUGAAAGCAGGGGAUCUUCGGACCUUGCGCGAUUGAAUGAGCCGAUGUCGGAUUAGCUAGUUGGCGGGGUAAAGGCCCACCAAGGCGACGAUCCGUAGCUGGUCUGAGAGGAUGAUCAGCCACACUGGGACUGAGACACGGUCCAGACUCCUACGGGAGGCAGCAGUGGGGAAUAUUGGACAAUGGGCGCAAGCCUGAUCCAGCCAUACCGCGUGGGUGAAGAAGGCCUUCGGGUUGUAAAGCCCUUUUGUUGGGAAAGAAAAGCAGCAGGUUAAUACCCCGCUGUUCUGACGGUACCCAAAGAAUAAGCACCGGCUAACUUCGUG